CCUACGCGUGGCAGCAGUGGGGAAUAUUGGACAAUGGGGGGAACCCUGAUCCAGCGAAGCCGCGUGAGUGAAGAAGUAUCUCGGUAUGUAAAGCUCUAUCAGCAGGGCAGAAAGACAUGACGGUACCUCACUAAGAAGACCCGGCUAACUACGAGCCAGCAGCCGCGGUAAUCCGUAGGGGGCAAGCGUGAUCCGGAUUUCAUGGGUGUAAAGGGAGCGUAGACGGCGAUGCAAGUCUGAAGUGAAAGGCGGGGGCCCAACCCCUGGACUGCUUUGGAUACUGUAUGGCUGGAGUGCAGGUGAGGUAGGUGGAAUUCGUAGUGUAGCGGUGAAAUGCGUAGAUAUUAGGAGGAACACCAGUGGCGAAGGCGGCUUACUGGACUGUAACUGACGUUGAGGCUCGAAAGCGUGGGGAGCAAACAGGAUUAGAUACCCGAGUAGUC
rnacentral:rRNA from 1 species